rnacentral:lncRNA from 1 species
AUAUAGUACUGGGAGAAAAUAUUCACUCUCAUCGUUUUUGUCCACUCCAAGCUCCUUCUUCCUCUCCAAAUAAUCAAAGACUGAAGUUGAUUUGAUUCAGUGCAAGUGGUUGGGAAGCUCUUGAGUAGGUGUAUGGAACGAUGUACGGAAUAUUGAAGGAAGCACGUGAUUCGAUUUCCGUGGCAAAUCAGCAAGCCACUUUUGCGGUACAAUUUUUGCUUUUAGAAAUCCUGUCAAUGUCUAUUUUAAAGCAUAUGUUUAGCGUUCAUUCAUGAUUGCUUUGGAAUCAAUCGGCGCACCUUAAUUGAACAUGGCGAAAUCUUGAAUUGAAUCAACCGUUGCCUUAUUUCCGAUGCAAUUGAAGGGCUCCAUGGACGUGAAUCGAGAUUUUGGUGUGAGAAACGAAUUUGAACAAGAAAAUACGGGCAAGAAUGGGUGGCUGCAGGACUACAUGUUGGACAAUUAGUCCAUUCAAGAAUUAGUGUGGUUCAUUGCAAGCGGCUGGCGUGAUGAAUUAAAGAAAUUGAAUCUAGCUGCCGAUUUCAAUUCGUGGCUAUUUGAUGCUGGUGAGAGGUAUUUUGAUUUCACCUCUUUUAUCGCUGGUGGAUGAUAAAGGCAUUAACUUAUGGGAUUAUUGACGGUUUAGUUUCUAUGCAGCAAACUGGUGAUAUGUUGAAUUAAAGACCAGGUGAUCAAGAGAUUCAAGUACAGGAAGUUCUGUGGCAAAGCAAUGAAGCAUGAGGUGGCAUACAUUUCGAUCCAUUCAUGCAUUGUAGUGCAUGGUUUACUGUGUUUGAUACUUUUUCAAUCAUGAUGUAGUGCAGAUUUGAAGCGGUUAUAUUCUUUUGCACUUUGAAGCAGUACAAUCAAGCUUGAAUUCCAGCAGCUAUGAAUUAUGAGGAGAACAGGUCGAGAUGCAAUUAGAUGUUGUUGAUGCAGGUAUCAGUUCAGUGCAUUCAAGAAGAGCUAUGUAUUAUGUCGAGCACAAGGUAUGCAUAUUGUGAUUUCAAGUACAUCUGUUCAAAUAUUUCCUCUACCAAUUUGAUGACAUUGAAAUUUGGUGAUCAUCCGUGGUGUAAUUUUAGGCAAAGUUUGUGGAUAAAUUUUUCAAAAAGAUUUGAGGCAAGCCACUGAAUCAAAAUUUGAAAUCCAUUUUCUUAAGGAAUGGGAAGAUGAUAUGAUUCUAUAAUUAAAAUUAGGUUAAACUCAUUCGUUAGUCCCUAUUUUCGUGUUUUUGUCCCACGUUAGUCCUCGAUUUAUUUUUUGUGCCAAUUAAGUCCCUAAUUGUGCAAAAUUGAUAGAAAUUAAUCCUUAGCCGUUAAAUGCAGUUAACGGAGUUAAGUUGGCAUGCAGAUGACCAUGUGACGUGGUAGAUAUAUUGUUCAAGUGCCCCUUAACUUAAAAAUUUGGGGUUUUUGUUAAAGAUUUUGAAAUUAGGGUUAAUUUAUAAUUGAAUUGGGAGCAUGGCCUCCGAUGAACGGUACCGUCGGUGAAGACAACGCUGCUUUCUGCUUUUGUUCUGGUGUCCAGUAGUCUCUUCUCUACACCUCAACCACUCUCUCUGCAAUGCAACGCACACUGUUUAUCUCUUUCUAUCUUCUCUUUUCUCUUUUUGCAGCAGAAGGUGAUCUCAACCCAAAUACUGUAAUGGGGGAUUUUCUUGAACAUUGUUUACCAUGGAUUCUGGAUUUCAUGAACAAGUCUCUUAGGGCUUUCUUUCUUUUCUAUUAUGUUUUGUUCAUCUUUAAUUUCAUUUUCAUUUUCUCGAAUUCCAUUUUCUUUUUCCCUUUUUUUCAAUCUGAACUGAUUUUUGAGGAAUGGAUGAAUGCAAAAGCCCAAAAUCAUAUUCCACGCCCCUCUCUUUGCCUUUUUCCUAGAAGAAAAUAGAAGAGAAAGCGCGCCGAAGGCGAGCUCUUCCCUAGAAUCUCCCGUUGCGGAUGUUUGUCAGAGUCCACAGCGCGCCGAUACUUCCAACAGCUGGUCUCCGCGCUCCGGUUCUGCCACCGCAACGAUUUUGGUGUCUUUUCACUUUGAUUCCUUGAAAAAGCUUGGAUUUUUCUGUCUCAGCAACAUAAAUGUAAUCACCAUUAUUACAAAAGGGAGAAAAAACACAGCAAGAAAGCUUUCAGUUGUUGAUUUUAGCCCUGCAACAGCAUUAAUAAAUGUAAUUUCCAGAUAUUCCAUGUCCCAAAAAAAAAAACUUGGUCAAGAAUUUCUGCUACUUUAGCACCAUAACCAUUCUCGGCACCAUCCUUUGCCCAGUAAGAGUUAUCCUGGAGCCUUUCAUCCGUAAACUGUAUUUUGUCAACUUGUACUCGCUGAAAUGACGUCUUGACUGGUUUCUCAAUUGAUUCCUUUUGCUGUUUCUUCUGAGACCUCUAUACAGAAGAUUUCUCUCCAUUGUUUCCUUAGUUGACUCCUUAGAUGCAUUUAUAUUUUCUGUUUUUCUGCGUUUGUUUUCUUCAUCUGCCUUUACAUCUGCAACCUCUUGACCAUUUUCUUCAGAAAUUGUUCUUUUUCUUUUUGGUUUAAACCAUUUAGUUGUCCCUAUUUUUGGGAGGUUUCCCCAUUUUGAUCUCCGUCUUAUUAGAAUUUCCAAUUGAGUCCCUAUAAGUGCUAAUUUCAAUCAAUUAAGCCCCUGCCAACGGGGUUAACUUUUUUGCACAGCUGAAAGGAUGACCUGUUAAUUUCUGUAAAGGUGGCCUAUUUAGAGUUGAAAUGUGGCAUGAAUUAGACUUGAAAUUGAUUGAAAUUAGCACUUAUGGGACUCAAUUCAUGCCACGUUUCAACUCUAAAUAGGCCACGUUUAUAGAAAUUAACAGGUCAUCCUCCCAGUUGUGCAAAAAAGUUAAUCUCGUUAACUAAAUUUAACGAGAGGGGCUUAAUUGAUUGAAAUAGCACUUAUAAAGACUCAAUUGGGGAUUCGAAUAAGACGGGGAUCAAAAUGGGAAAACCUCCCGAAAAUAGGGACAACUAAAUGGUUUAAACCUUUCUUUUUCUUAGAAUCUUUUUUCUCCUCACUUGUCUUGACACUGUGGUUGCUCAUGCUUCCUAUGCCACUGUAAUGGUGAUGGAGGAGAAGCUUAAGGAAGUAGGUUGGGUUUUGGGGGUUUAACGUUGAGGUAGGGAAAGCCAUUAAUGGUGCAAGAGGUGGUCAUCGGUGAUUAACUUGAGUAAAAAAAACCCCAAUUCUUUAAUUUUGUGAUUAACUUGAGUAAUAAAAGGCACGUGUAUCAUUACAGCUACCUGAUAGCUUCUGUGCACGCCAUGUCAUAUAUAAUACUCACCUCAGUCUUACAGAUCAGUUACAAGUUAACCUCGUUAACUUGAUUUAACGACAAGGGUUAAUUUCUUUCAAUUUUACAAUCUUUGGGACUAAAUUAGUAAAAAAUAAAAGACAGAGACUAAAUUGGAAAAAAAACGCAAAAAUAAGAACUUCUGGAGUGGUUUAACCUUAAAAUUAUGAUUAAAUCUUUUAAUAUAGGUAUUUGUAAAGUUUUAAUAUUCUAAAUUGUAUAUAGUAAACCAAACAAAUGAUAAAUAAAUAACUAGACAGACGAAGGGUAAAAGAAACAAAAGAUAAAAUUUCAAUAGAGAUUAUGAUUUCUAUAUCAAUAUAUGUCAUAAAGUCAACCUACAUAAAAGGAUUUUAUAUAUAUAUAAAUAUAUAUAUAUAUAUAUAUAUAUAUAUAUAUAUAUAUAUAUAUAUAUAUAUAUAUAUAUAUAUAUAUAUAUAUAUCAUUAUUUUUAGUCGUGAUCCUCAUUCCUAGAACUAAUAUGAAGAGAAAACAUAUCUCAAGGACAUAAAGUUAUGAAGAGUAUAGACUUAAAAAAGUUUGAAAAGAAAAUUAUAAAACAUAAUAUUUCUUUUUCUAACUUUUUACAAGUUUUUAAAAUUUUCUAGUAGUUUCUAAAAGAUUAUAGAUGAAAGCAAGAAGUAAUAAGCUAUAUGAACUCACUUAAUAAUCUCAUUAAAGAGGAGGUUAAGUAAGUUUUCAUCUAACCACUUCAUCAUGAAAAAGUUAUGAUUUUAUUCAUAUAUGUCACCAUCAUAAUAAACUCAUUGUAUUUUUUUUAGCAUUUCUUUAUAUGAUUCUUCAAUUCUCCUCACUUAUAAAUAAAGGAUUUCUUAUAUAUUAUUCACACUUAAAUUGGAUGAAAUUAAUAAGUUUUGUGAGAAUUUUAAUGUUUUAAAAAUAAGAUAUUCUUUUCUUAAAUUUUUUUAUUGGAAAGUUUCUUCAAGUGAUAUGCUAUAUGUCUAGUGAUUGUUGUCCAUAAAUCCAAUGCUCACCAAAGAACGUUUUUCUUGCGAAGCUCCUCAUCCCAUUCCAUGCUCACUCAUGGGCUUAGCAUUGGUUGCACUGGAUUGGAUUUAGAUCAAACUUAGAAUAAUCCAAAUUUAAUAUUUUAAAACUUAUAUCCAGCCAUUUAAUUUAUCAGGUUAGUAGGAUACCCUCACUCACGCGGUUUAACAUCAUAUACCACAAGCAAGUUUGGUCAAGUUUUGAAAUAGAAAGAACUGAUGUUGCACCUACCAUUAUCCUGUCCUGCAAUAUUUAUACUCCAUUUUUCAACUUUCUUUUUCACAACUAACAUGUCAUCUUAGAGACUCUUUAAGACUCUCCUUUUAGUUCGAUAUGAACAACCAAGAAAGUUUAAUGUGCCAAAAAAAUAUUAAUUUCUAUUGAAGUUUAUGUUCUAACAAUACCAUCACCAAUCUUAAUUUGCAUUAUACAUUUACUAACUAUACUACAAGUACCGUCAUUUCCCAUUAGAACUUCACCAUUAAUGUCUUUUGCUCAAAGCUUGUCGAUAAUCUUUUCUUUAGAGACUUCUUAAAACUUCAUAAUUUUGCAAUAACACUAUCAUAUCCUUCUAUGCAGAUGUAACUUACAUUCCAACACCAACUCAUGUUCAUGUUGUAUGAGAGCGAAAUUUUGCACCCAUCAUAAAUUGAAGUCAGGAUUGCCGUCAAUUCUUUAAUGUUAGAAAUCACAAAUGUUAUAGGUAAGAUACUAAAUUGUUAUAAUAAAAUUGUAUUUAAUGUAGAAACAAAACUAUAAGAAAGAUAAUUGGUUAAAAGAAG